rnacentral:rRNA from 1 species
UACGAAGGGGGCUAGCGUUGCUCGGAAUCACUGGGCGUAAAGGGUGCGUAGGCGGGUCUUUUAAGUCAGGGGUGAAAUCCUGGAGCUCAACUCCAGAACUGCCUUUGAUACUGAAGAUCUUGAGUUCGGGAGAGGUGAGUGGAACUGCGAGUGUAGAGGUGAAAUUCGUAGAUAUUCGCAAGAACACCAGUGGCGAAGGCGGCGUUCUGGACUGUUACUGACACUGAGGAACGAAAGCCAGGGGAGCAAACGGG